CAACCUCAACUCAUAUGGGACUACCCCCUGAAUUUAAGCAUAUUAAUUAGGGGAGGAAAAGAAACUAACAAGGAUUUUCUUAGUAGCGGCGAGCGAAAAGAAAUCAGUUCAGCACUAAGUCACUUUGUCUAUAUGGCAAAUGUGAGAUGCAGUGUACGGAACAUCAACAUUCUAGUAUGAGAAGUUAACGAUUUAAGUCCUUCUUAAAUGAGGCCAUUUACCCAUAGAGGGUGCCAGGCCCGUAUAACGUUAAUGAUUACUAGAUGGUGUUUCCAAAGAGUCGUGUUGCUUGAUAGUGCAGCACUAAGUGGGUGGUAAACUCCAUCUAAAACUAAAUAUAACCAUGAGACCGAUAGUAAACAAGUACCGUGAGGGAAAGUUGAAAAGAACUCUGAAUAGAGAGUUAAAUAGUACGUGAAACUGCUUAGAGGUUAAGCCCGAUGAACCUGAAUAUCCGUUAUGGAAAAUUCAUCAUUAGAAUUGUAAUAUUUUAAACAAUAUUAUAAUAAUAGUGUGCAUUUUUUCCAUAUAAGGACAUUGUAAUCUAUUAGCAUAAAUAUUUAUCAUAAAAUUAUGUCUGAUUGCUUAUUUGAAUUAUAUGCUUGGCAUUUUAACAUAAAAUAAAAGAUAUAAAUUUGAUAAAGUGCUGAUAGAUUUAUAUGAUUACAGUGCGUUAAUUUUUCGGAAUUAUAUAAUGGCAUAAUUAUCAUUGAUAUUUGUGUUUAUUAUAUGCAUUUGUAUGAUUAACAAUGCGAAAGAUUCAGGAUACCUUCGGGACCCGCUUUGACACACGGAUCAAUGGAGCCUAAACAUAUGUGCCAUCUAUUGCGAUAUAAACCUCAU
rnacentral:ncRNA from 1 species